CUCCAAGGGGCCUCAGGCGAAUCAGGAAGGUGCCUGUGGGGCCAGGCUGGGACCACAGAUGGGCCAGAGUCUCUGUGGAGCAGGACCCCUGGAAACCCUCCUCCCAUUUCAUGUGGACAAUUUUAGUUUGGUUUCUGGAAAACUUCCUUCAACAGUUGUCUGCAGUGGGCACAGGUGGGUCCUGGCAUGGCUGCUCAGAUUUCAGACGAACCCUCUUUAUUAAGGUCUCUGGUCAUCUUUUCUCCUCUUUUCAAAUCAAGUUCAAGUCCUUCCUCUGAAAAGCUUUCUGUGGCCAUCUGGAUAUCUAUUCCUCAGGAUGGUGCUGAUUCCUGUCAUUCACAUCUAUGGUCUUUGUUAGAUGUGUGCAGUCACUGUAUCUUCUUGAGUGCUGGCCUCCUGUCUGUCCAGAGGGCCCUUGAGCUCUUGCAGGUGGAGACCAUGUCUUAAAUGUCUUGCCUCUUCCUUCUCUCCCCCCUGAGCAUCGAGAACCAA